rnacentral:rRNA from 1 species
CCUACGGGGGGCAGCAGUGAGGAAUAUUGGUCAAUGGACGAGAGUCUGAACCAGCCAAGUAGCGUGAAGGAUGACUGCCCUAUGGGUUGUAAACUUCUUUUAUCUGGGAAUAAAAUGUUCCACGUGUGGGAUUUUGUAUGUACCAUAUGAAUAAGGAUCGGCUAACUCCGUGCCAGCAGCCGCGGUAAUACGGAGGAUCCGAGCGUUAUCCGGAUUUAUUGGGUGUAAAGGGAGCGUAGGUGGAUUGUUAAGUCAGUUGUGAAAGUUUGCGGCUCAACCGUAAAAUUGCAGUUGAAACUGGCAGUCUUGAGUACAGUAGAGGUAGGCGGAAUUCGUGGUGUAGCGGUGAAAUGCUUAGAUAUCACGAAGAACUCCGAUUGCGAAGGCAGUUCACUGGACUGCAACUGACACUGAGGCUCGAAAGUGUGGGUAUCAAACAGGAUUAGAUACCCGAGUAGUC